AGCGUACACGGUGGAUGCCUAGGCAGUCAGAGGCGAUGAAGGGCGUGCUAAUCUGCGAAAAGCGUCGGUAAGGUGAUAUGAACCGUUAUAACCGGCGAUACCCGAAUGGGGAAACCCAGUGUGUUUCGACACACUAUCAUGUCAUGAAUACAUAGUGGCAUGAGGCGAACCGGGGGAACUGAAACAUCUAAGUACCCCGAGGAAAAGAAAUCAACCGAGAUUCCCCCAGUAGCGGCGAGCGAACGGGGAGGAGCCCAGAACCUGAAUCGGCUUGUGUGUUAGUGGAAGCGUCUGGAAAGUCGCGCAGCAAAGGGUGAUAGCCCCGUACACUAAAAUGCACAGGUCGUGAGUUCGAUGAGUAGGGCGGGACACGUGACAUCCUGUCUGAAUAUGGGGGGACCAUCCUCCAAGGCUAAAUACUCCUGACUGACCGAUAGUGAACCAGUACCGUGAGGGAAAGGCGAAAAGAACCCCGGCGAGGGGAGUGAAAUAGAACCUGAAACCGUGUACGUACAAGCAGUGGGAGCACCUUCGUGGUGUGACUGCGUACCUUUUGUAUAAUGGGUCAGCGACUUAUAUUUUGUAGCAAGGUUAACCGUAUAGGGGAGCCGUAGGGAAACCGAGUCUUAACUGGGCGAUUAGUUGCAAGGUAUAGACCCGAAACCCGGUGAUCUAGCCAUGGGCAGGUUGAAGGUUGGGUAACACUAACUGGAGGACCGAACCGACUAAUGUUGAAAAAUUAGCGGAUGACUUGUGGCUGGGGGUGAAAGGCCAAUCAAACCGGGAGAUAGCUGGUUCUCCCCGAAAGCUAUUUAGGUAGCGCCUCGUGAACUCAUCUUCGGGGGUAGAGCACUGUUUCGGCUAGGGGGCCAUCCCGGCUUACCAAACCGAUGCAAACUCCGAAUACCGAAGAAUGUUAUCACGGGAGACACACGGCGGGUGCUAACGUCCGUCGUGAAGAGGGAAACAACCCAGACCGCCAGCUAAGGUCCCAAAGUCAUGGUUAAGUGGGAAACGAUGUGGGAAGGCACAGACAGCCAGGAUGUUGGCUUAGAAGCAGCCAUCAUUUAAAGAAAGCGUAAUAGCUCACUGGUCGAGUCGGCCUGCGCGGAAGAUGUAACGGGGCUAAACCAUGCACCGAAGCUGCGGCAGCGACGCUUAGGCGUUGUUGGGUAGGGGAGCGUUCUGUAAGCCGUUGAAGGUGGCCUGUGAGGGUUGCUGGAGGUAUCAGAAGUGCGAAUGCUGACAUAAGUAACGAUAAAGCGGGUGAAAAGCCCGCUCGCCGGAAGACCAAGGGUUCCUGUCCAACGUUAAUCGGGGCAGGGUGAGUCGACCCCUAAGGCGAGGCUGAAAAGCGUAGUCGAUGGGAAACAGGUUAAUAUUCCUGUACUUGGUGUUACUGCGAAGGGGGGACGGAGAAGGCUAGGCUGGCCGGGCGACGGUUGUCCCGGUUUAAGCGUGUAGGGGGUGUGACCUGGUAAAUCCGGUUGCAUANAACCCUGAGGCGUGAUGACGAUGCACUACGGUGCAGAAGUAGUUGAUGCCCUGCUUCCAGGAAAAUCCUCUAAGCUCCAGGUAACAUUAAAUCGUACCCCAAACCGACACAGGUGGUCAGGUAGAGAAUACCAAGGCGCUUGAGAGAACUCGGGUGAAGGAACUAGGCAAAAUGGUGCCGUAACUUCGGGAGAAGGCACGCUGGCAUGUAGGUGAAGUCCCUUGCGGAUGGAGCUGAAGCCAGUCGAAGAUACCAGCUGGCUGCAACUGUUUAAUAAAAACACAGCACUGUGCAAACACGAAAGUGGACGUAUACGGUGUGACGCCUGCCCGGUGCUGGAAGGUUAAUUGAUGGGGUCAGCCGCAAGGCGAAGCUCUUGAUCGAAGCCCCAGUAAACGGCGGCCGUAACUAUAACGGUCCUAAGGUAGCGAAAUUCCUUGUCGGGUAAGUUCCGACCUGCACGAAUGGCGUAAUGAUGGCCAGGCUGUCUCCACCCGAGACUCAGUGAAAUUGAACUCGCUGUGAAGAUGCAGUGUACCCGCGGCAAGACGGAAAGACCCCGUGAACCUUUACUAUAGCUUGACACUGAACAUUGAGCCUUGAUGUGUAGGAUAGGUGGGAGGCUUUGAAGCGUGGACGCCAGUCUGCGUGGAGCCAUCCUUGAAAUACCACCCUUUAAUGUUUGAUGUUCUAACUCGGCCCCGUGAUCCGGGGUGAGGACAGUGUCUGGUGGGUAGUUUGACUGGGGCGGUCUCCUCCCAAAGAGUAACGGAGGAGCACGAAGGUUAGCUAAUCACGGUCGGACAUCGUGAGGUUAGUGCAAAGGCAUAAGCUAGCUUGACUGCGAGAGUGACGGCUCGAGCAGGUACGAAAGUAGGUCUUAGUGAUCCGGUGGUUCUGAAUGGAAGGGCCAUCGCUCAACGGAUAAAAGGUACUCCGGGGAUAACAGGCUGAUACCGCCCAAGAGUUCAUAUCGACGGCGGUGUUUGGCACCUCGAUGUCGGCUCAUCACAUCCUGGGGCUGAAGUAGGUCCCAAGGGUAUGGCUGUUCGCCAUUUAAAGUGGUACGCGAGCUGGGUUUAGAACGUCGUGAGACAGUUCGGUCCCUAUCUGCCGUGGGCGUUGGAAGAUUGAGAGGGGUUGCUCCUAGUACGAGAGGACCGGAGUGAACGCACCACUGGUGUUCGGGUUGUCAUGCCAAUGGCAUUGCCCGGUAGCUAAGUGCGGAAAAGAUAAGCGCUGAAAGCAUCUAAGCGCGAAACUUGCCUCAAGAUGAGUCUUCCCUUGGACUUUGA
rnacentral:rRNA from 1 species